AGUGAACGCUGGCGGUAGGCCUAACACAUGCCAGUCGAACGGCAGCACAGUAAGAGCUUGCUCUUACGGGUGGCGAGUGGCGGACGGGUGAGGAAUACAUCGGAAUCUACUUUUUCGUGGGGGAUAACGUAGGGAAACUUACGCUAAUACCGCAUACGACCUACGGGUGAAAGCAGGGGAUCUUCGGACCUUGCGCGAUUGAAUGAGCCGAUGUCGGAUUAGCUAGUUGGCGGGGUAAAUGCCCACCAAGGCGACGAUCCGUAGCUGGUCUGAGAGGAUGAUCAGCCACACUGGAACUGAGACACGGUCCAGACUCCUACGGGAGGCAGCAGUGGGGAAUAUUGGACAAUGGGCGCAAGCCUGAUCCAGCCAUACCGCGUGGGUGAAGAAGGCCUUCGGGUUGUAAAGCCCUUUUGUUGGGAAAGAAAAGCAGCAGGUUAAUACCCCGCUGUUCUGACGGUACCCAAAGAAUAAGCACCGGCUAACUUCGUG
rnacentral:rRNA from 1 species